rnacentral:rRNA from 1 species
ACGGAAGGCGGCAGUGGGGGAUAUUGCACAAUGGGGGAAACCCUGAUGCAGCAAUGCCGCGUGAGGGAAGAAGGUCUUCGGAUUGUAAACCUAAGUAGUCAGGGAUGAAGAAAGUGACAUUACCCGAAGAGUAAGCUCCGGCUAACUACGUGCCAGCAGCCGCGGUAAUACGUAGGGAGCGAGCGUUGUCCGGAUUUACUGGGUGUAAAGGGUGCGUAGGCGGGCUUGCAAGUCAGGCGUGAAAUACCGGGGCUUAACUCCGGGGCUGCGCUUGAAACUGUAAGUCUUGAGUGAAGUAGAGGCAGGCGGAAUUCCCAGUGUAGCGGUGAAAUGCGUAGAUAUUGGGAGGAACACCAGUGGCGAAGGCGGCCUGCUGGGCUUUAACUGACGCUGAGGCACGAAAGUAUGGGGAGCAAACAGGAUUAGAUACCCUGGUA